ensembl:lncRNA
CUCACACCUGGCCCUCAUCUACAAUCAUGCUCACCUGGUCUUCAUCCCCAAUCAACCCCCUUCAUAAACCCUUGGAUUCCCUGCUGUCGGCGCCAGAUCGUACUACGCAGUACCGAGUUACCCGGAUCACUCACUCCAGCUCGCCCACAUCGCUCUUCCCCCGGCUCCCUUAUCCACUACCUGCUUCCCACAUAAACCCCUUUUUAUCCCUUCAACAUCGUAUCUGUCUGCUCUUGGGUUCAGCAUCGUCUACCAUAUCAAAGAAGGGCAUUGUCCUGCCUCUGACAGGACACUGCUCUGCAGUGACCUCUUCAGCAGUGAGGACUUUGACAGGAUGGGGCCGACUGUCCGGCUUAAAGAUGGUGUUGUGCCAACCCUUUUCAACUUUCCAGCUCAUCUUCAAAGGACCACUGUUAAAAGAGCGGAAGACAACCUGGCAACGGACUUGAUGCCUGAUGUUGGAGUUACUGGAGAGAGGAGAUUGAGCCGCAAGCGGCAGGUCAUUGACGACCACUUGUAUGCAUUGCCUGUUUGCCCUACGGCUAUGAAGGCCAAACUUUAAGAAGCCUCAGCGAGAGUGAGGAAACUGCAGCGGGAGAAGAUCAAUGGCUUCAGGAGAGAAAACAGAACAACAUGCAGGCUGUUCUGGAGGAACUGAAGGAGAAAAAUCUCAUCAACGAAGAGCUGAAAGACGAGCUUGAAUGCCACUCAGAUCUUCCGGUUCAUCUCCUGUUGAGGCAGGGCGUAGAGUACACCAAGGCCCAGAGAGAUUCUGCCCUAACGCUCCAUCUGCAUGGUCCAAAGGCAUAUCACUUCCUGAGAGAUACUCUGCACAUUCACCUGCCACAUCCCAAUUCAUUGCAGAGGAGGCUGGAAUAACAACCCUAAUGCUGGCCAGUUCAAAUACAUCUUCAGAAAGCUGAUGGCCCAGUGUGGAGUUGUUAAACCAUGCAGAGGCAAUGUGACUGCACCGGAUGAGACAGUCCCUAUCAGCGGUCAUCGACACCUCUACAAGCCUGUCAGCUGUAGAUAUGUCCUCUCUAGCAGGAGGAGAAGAUCUUCCAUCCCCGUUUGCUGACAUUCCUGCCCUAGUACAUGACCACAGCUACCUUCCCGUCCGCUACGAUGGUCUUGUGGACAACUCUCUCGUGUACAUUUCUAGUGCCAAUAGUCAACUCUGUGAGAGAAGAAUCUUGACAGUCCAAAAAAAGAAAUGUCUCCUUAAUUUCCCCACGCGUAUUAUUAUGAGUUAUGAUAUUAUACUAACCCAUAUUUCAGGAUUUGUUGUGAGACGGGCUCUGAAGAAGGUGUACUGUGAUGUGUCUGCCGUGCCAGCCUGACAGACGCUGCAUCUGCCAUCAAGAACCAGAGCUACCACCUGGCACAGUGAGGGUCGUCAGGGCAGCAGAGUGGGUCAUUCGCCAGGCAUCAGCUAGCUUCAGACCAUCACAGCCCAUCAAACUGCUAGAGGUCUUGUACAUUGUACGGAUGUGGAUCGGGUCAGAGGAUGUGUUGGUGCUCAGGGAGCACAUCGGCAACACGCAGACAGCCACCACAAUACACUGCUAACACUAGUUGUGUCCUUGUUUUUUAAGCUAAGGCUACAUUACAUCGCUCAAAUGACCACACUAAGCUCACAGAGCAACAACAUGCGACAGAAGCUCAAUAAAACAGUCCUUUUCAAAGGGCAUUAGCCCAAUGUUACGACCCUGGUGGGUCUCUCAUUGGGCCCGCCCAUUUUUGCUGCCUCUCUCUCUCUCCACCCCCCUUCCCGUGAGGAUGGACACCGGGGUUUCAGCGGCCCUCACCAGAUCGGCUCGAGGUCCGUCGUCUGUGGAUUACGUCACACAAUACGCUUUCUACAGCCACUCGGACAAACUAAAUUACAUUCUACUUUCACG